GUGCAAUUGAGAGUGUAGAAAGAAUGAGUCCACGAGAUACGAUUGUCGAUUUAGACAUAGUAUUCUCCAAAUAAAGUAAAUUUUGAGCACUGUUUCGGCUAGGGGGUCAUCCCGACUUACCAAACCGAUGCAAACUCCGAAUACCUAUGAGUACUAUCCGGGAGACAGACUGCGGGUGCUAACGUCCGUAGUCAAGAGGAAAACAAUCCAGACCACCAGCUAAGGCCCCAAAAUCAUAGUUAAGUGGGAAACGAUGUGGGAAGGCAUAGACAGCUAGGAGGUUGGCUUAGAAGCAGCCACCCUUUAAAGAAAGCGUAAUAGCUCACUAGUCGAGUCGGCCUGCGCGGAAGAUGUAACGGGGCUAAAACUAUGUGCCGAAGCUGCGGAUUUGACAUUAGUCAAGUGGUAGGGGAGCGUUCUGUAAGCCGAUGAAGGUGUAUUGAGAAGUAUGCUGGAGGUAUCAGAAGUGCGAAUGCUGACGUGAGUAACGACAAAACGGGUGAAAAACCCGUUCGCCGAAAGACCAAGGGUUCCAGUCCAACGUUAAUCGGGGCUGGGUGAGUCGACCCCUAAGGCGAGGCCGAAAGGCGUAGUCGAUGGGAAAAUGGUUAAUAUUCCAUUACUUCUGUGUAAUGCGAUGAGAGGACGGAGAAGGCUAAAUCAGCCUGGCGUUGGUUGUCCAGGUGAAAGGAUGUAGGCAUGUAUCUUAGGCAAAUCCGGGGUACUCUAUGCUGAGAUCUGAUAGCAAGCUGUACUUGUACAGCGAAGUGGUUGAUGCCAUGCUUCCAGGAAAAGUCUCUAAGCUUCAGUUACACAGGAAUCGUACCCGAAACCGACACAGGUGGUCAGGUCGAGUAGACCAAGGCGCUUGAGAGAACUCUGCUGAAGGAACUAGGCAAAAUGGUACCGUAACUUCGGGAGAAGGUACGCUGUUGUUGGUGAUGGAACUCGCUUCCUGAGCUGACGACAGCCGCAGAAACCAGGCCGCUGCAACUGUUUAUUAAAAACAUAGCACUCUGCAAACACGAAAGUGGACGUAUAGGGUGUGAUGCCUGCCCGGUGCUGGAAGGUUAAUUGAUGGGGUUAGCGUAAGCGAAGCUCUUGAUCGAAGCCCCAGUAAACGGCGGCCGUAACUAUAACGGUCCUAAGGUAGCGAAAUUCCUUGUCGGGUAAGUUCCGACCUGCACGAAUGGCAUAAUGAUGGCGGCGCUGUCUCCAGCAGAGGCUCAGUGAAAUCGAAAUCGCUGUGAAGAUGCAGUGUACCCGCGGCUAGACGGAAAGACCCCGUGAACCUUUACUGCAGCUUGACACUGAACUUUGACCUUACUUGUGUAGGAUAGGUGGGAGGCUUUGAAGCUGGAACGCUAGUUCCAGUGGAGCCGUCCUUGAAAUACCACCCUGGUAAUGUUGAGGUUCUAACUCUGUCCCGUGAUCCGGGACGAGGACCGUGUCUGGUGGGUAGUUUGACUGGGGCGGUCUCCUCCUAAAGAGUAACGGAGGAGUACGAAGGUGCGCUCAGCGUGGUCGGAAAUCACGCGUAGAGUAUAAAGGCAAAAGCGCGCUUAACUGCGAGACCCACAAGUCGAGCAGGUACGAAAGUAGGUCUUAGUGAUCCGGUGGUUCUGUAUGGAAGGGCCAUCGCUCAACGGAUAAAAGGUACUCUGGGGAUAACAGGCUGAUACCGCCCAA
rnacentral:rRNA from 1 species